rnacentral:rRNA from 1 species
AUACGGAGGGUGCGAGCGUUAAUCGGAAUUACUGGGCGUAAAGCGCGCGUAGGCGGCUUGGUCAGUCGGAUGUGAAAGCCCCGGGCUUAACCUGGGAAUUGCACUCGAUACUGCUGAGCUAGAGUAUGGGAGAGGGAAGUGGAAUUUCCGGUGUAGCGGUGAAAUGCGUAGAUCUCGGAAGGAACACCAGUGGCGAAGGCGACUUCCUGGCCCAAUACUGACGCUCAGGUGCGAAAGCGUGGGUAGCGAACAGGAUCAGAAACCCCGGUAGUCC